CACGUGAGUAACCUGCCCUCCACUUCGGGAUAACCUCGGGAAAUCGUGGCUAAUACCGGAUAUGAGCACUCAUCGCAUGGUGGGUGUUGGAAAGAUUUAUCGGUGGGGGAUGGACUCGCGGCCUAUCAGUUUGUUGGUGAGGUGAUGGCUCACCAAGACGAUGACGGGUAGCCGGCCUGAGAGGGCGACCGGCCACACUGGGACUGAGACACGGCCCAGACUCCUACGGGAGGCAGCAGUGGGGAAUAUUGCACAAUGGGCGAAAGCCUGAUGCAGCGACGCCGCGUGGGGGAUGACGGCCUUCGGGUUGUAAACCCCUUUCAGUAGGGAAGAAGCGAGAGUGACGGUACCUGCAGAAGAAGCGCCGGCUAACUACGUGCCAGCAGCCGCGGUAAUACGUAGGGCGCAAGCGUUGUCCGGAAUUAUUGGGCGUAAAGAGCUUGUAGGUGGCUUGUCGCGUCUGCCGUGAAAACCCGAGGCUCAACCUCGGGCGUGCGGUGGGUACGGGCAGGCUAGAGUGUGGUAGGGGAGACUGGAACUCCUGGUGUAGCGGUGAAAUGCGCAGAUAUCAGGAAGAACACCGAUGGCGAAGGCAGGUCUCUGGGCCAUUACUGACACUGAGAAGCGAAAGCAUGGGUAGCGAACAGGAUUAGAUACCCUGGUAGUCCAUGCCGUAAACGUUGGGCACUAGGUGUGGGGGACAUUCCACGUUUUCCGCGCCGUAGCUAACGCAUUAAGUGCCCCGCCUGGGGAGUACGGCCGCAAGGCUAAAACUCAAAGGAAUUGACGGGGGCCCGCACAAGCGGCGGAGCAUGCUGAUUAAUUCGAUGCAACGCGAAGAACCUUACCAAGGCUUGACAUGCACUGGACGGCUGCAGAGAUGUGGCUUUCUUUGGACUGGUGCACAGGUGGUGCAUGGUUGUCGUCAGCUCGUGUCGUGAGAUGUUGGGUUAAGUCCCGCAACGAGCGCAACCCUCGUUCUAUGUUGCCAGCACGUGAUGGUGGGGACUCAUAGGAGACUGCCGGGGUCAACUCGGAGGAAGGUGGGGACGACGUCAAAUCAUCAUGCCCCUUAUGUCUUGGGCUUCAAGCAUGCUACAAUGGUCGGUACAAUGGGUUGCGAAACUGUGAGGUGGAGCGAAUCCC
rnacentral:rRNA from 1 species